UUAUCAACCAUCAAGCCUGGCUUGUCGUUGGAUCCUGUCGUUGAAAUACACGACAGAUCCAAAAGAUAACGACGGCGUCUGUUUGACCCUAGAUGCAACGAGCUUAAAACAGCACGCAUUGAAGUGGUUGGCAGGCCCGGUCUUAACCAUCAUUUUCUAAGGUUGACCUCGGAUCAGGUAGGAAUACCCGCUGAACUUAA
rnacentral:misc_RNA from 1 species